rnacentral:rRNA from 1 species
AUACGGAGGGAGCUAGCGUUGUUCGGAUUUACUGGGCGUAAAGCGCACGUAGGCGGAUUGACAAGUUAGGGGUGAAAUCCCGAGGCUCAACCUCGGAACUGCCUCUAAAACUGUCAAUCUCGAGACCGGAAGAGGUGAGUGGAACUCCUAGUGUAGAGGUGGAAUUCGUAGAUAUUAGGAAGAACACCAGUGGCGAAGGCGGCUCACUGGUCCGGUACUGACGCUGAGGUGCGAAAGCGUGGGGAGCAAACAGGAUUAGAAACCCUAGUAGUCC